rnacentral:rRNA from 1 species
AGAGUUUGAUCAUGGCUCAGGACGAACGCUGGCGGCGUGCCUAACACAUGCAAGUCGAGCGAUGAAACCCUUCGGGGUGGAUUAGCGGCGGACGGGUGAGUAACACGUGGGUAACCUGCCUCAAAGAGGGGAAUAGCCUCCCGAAAGGGAGAUUAAUACCGCAUAAUAUGUUUUGGUCACAUGGCCUUAACAUCAAAGGAUUUCUUCGGAAAUUCACUUUGAGAUGGACCCGCGGCGCAUUAGCUAGUUGGUGAGGUAACGGCUCACCAAGGCGACGAUGCGUAGCCGACCUGAGAGGGUGAUCGGCCACAUUGGAACUGAGACACGGUCCAGACUCCUACGGGAGGCAGCAGUGGGGAAUAUUGCGCAAUGGGGGAAACCCUGACGCAGCAACGCCGCGUGAAUGAUGAAGGCCUUCGGGUUGUAAAGUUCUGUCUUCUGGGACGAUAAUGACGGUACCAGAGGAGGAAGCCACGGCUAACUACGUGCCAGCAGCCGCGGUAAUACGUAGGUGGCAAGCGUUGUCCGGAUUUACUGGGCGUAAAGGAUGCGUAGGCGGACAUUUAAGUCAGAUGUGAAAUACCCGAGCUUAACUUGGGUGCUGCAUUUGAAACUGGGUGUCUAGAGUGCAGGAGAGGUAAGUGGAAUUCCUAGUGUAGCGGUGAAAUGCGUAGAGAUUAGGAAGAACACCAGUGGCGAAGGCGACUUACUGGACUGUAACUGACGCUGAGGCAUGAAAGCGUGGGGAGCAAACAGGAUUAGAUACCCUAGUAGUCC